rnacentral:sRNA from 1 species
GCUGGGCACGGCGGCUCAUGCCUGUAAUCCCAGCAACUCAGGAAGCUGAGGCAGGAGCAUUGCAUGUUUGAGGUCAGCCUCAGCAACUUAGUGAGACCCUGUUUCAA